GGCUCAGAACGAACGCCGGGCGGCGUGCCUAACACAUGCAAGUCGAGCGGGAAAGCCCGCAAGGGUGAGUACAGCGGCGCACGGGUGCGUAACACGUGGGUAAUCUGCCCUGAAGCCCGGAAUAACCUCCCGAAAGGGAAGCUAAUACCGGAUGAGACCACGGGAGCCUCGGCUCCCGCGGGAAAAGGUGGCCUCUGCAUGCAAGCUAUCACUUCAGGAUGAGCCCGCGGCCCAUCAGCUCGUUGGCGGGGUAAUGGCCCACCAAGGCUACGACGGGUAGCUGGUCUGAGAGGACGAUCAGCCACACUGGAACUGAGACACGGUCCAGACUCCUACGGGAGGCAGCAGUGGGGAAUCUUGCGCAAUGGGCGAAAGCCUGACGCAGCAACGCCGCGUGUGUGAUGAAGGUCUUCGGAUCGUAAAGCACUGUCGGGAGGGACGAAUAACGGCCAGGUGAACAAUCUGGUCGGAUGACGGUACCUCCAAAGGAAGCACCGGCUAACUCUGUGCCAGCAGCCGCGGUAAUACAGAGGGUGCAAGCGUUGUUCGGAAUUAUUGGGCGUAAAGCGCGUGUAGGCGGUCUCGCAAGUCGGAUGUGAAAGCCCUCGGCUUAACCGAGGAAGUGCGUUCGAUACUACGAGACUUGAGUGCCGGAGAGGGUGGCGGAAUUCCCGGUGUAGAGGUGAAAUUCGUAGAUAUCGGGAGGAACACCAGCGGCGAAGGCGGCCACCUGGACGGUAACUGACGCUGAGACGCGAAAGCGUGGGGAGCAAACAGGAUUAGAUACCCUGGUAGUCCACGCUGUAAACGAUGAGUGCUAGGUGUUGU
rnacentral:rRNA from 1 species